CAGCGGUGGAGAGAGCUUGCUCUCUUCAGCCGGCGACCGGCGCACGGGUGAGUAACACGUAUGCAACCUGCCCUUGACACUGGGAUAACCCGGAGAAAUCCGGACUAAUACCGGGCGACACCUUCGGAGGCCAUCCUCCUUAGGUCGAAGGAAGCGAUUCCGGUCAAGGAUGGGCAUGCGGCGCAUUAGCUAGUUGGCGGGGUAACGGCCCACCAAGGCGACGAUGCGUAGGGGUUCUGAGAGGAAGGUCCCCACAUUGGUACUGAGACACGGACCAAACUCC
rnacentral:rRNA from 1 species